rnacentral:rRNA from 1 species
UAAUACGGAGGGUGCAAGCGUUGUCCGGAUUUAUUGGGUUUAAAGGGUGCGUAGGCGGUCUUUUAAGUCAGUGGUGAAAGCCUCCAGCUCAACUGGAGAAAUGCCAUUGAUACUGGAAGACUUGAGUAUAGUUGAGGUAGGCGGAAUUGACAGUGUAGCGGUGAAAUGCAUAGAUAUUGUCAAGAACACCGAUUGCGAAGGCAGCUUACUAAACUAUAACUGACGCUGAGGCACGAAAGUGCGGGGAUCAAACAGGAUUAGAUACCCUGGUAGUCCGCACCGUAAACGAUGAAGACUCGAUGUGUGCGAUAUACAGUACGCGUCCAAGCGAAAGCGUUAAGUCUUCCACCUGGGAAGUACGAUCGCAAGAUUG